GCUAUUCGCACCAGGGUGCGAAUAGCAUCUCACGUCAUUUGGGUGCGAUUAGCAUCUGCUGUGUUGUUUGGCUAAUUGCACCCGGUGCGAAUAGCAUCCGCUGUGUUGUUCGGCUAUUCGCACCCGGGUGCGAUUAGCAU